ACAAAUGCUCCGUUACCCCGCAAUACGAAUCCUUAUAACUGCUCAUGACCUUGACUUGUCAAAAUCUUUCUUCUCAUGUCAGAUUGCUAUCACAUUACCACACUGCCGCAUAAUCUUUCAUGAAGUUUGAGAUGCAGGCAUGCAGCAUGUCAUAGAUGAUAAAAGCACAAGGUCAAUGGUUUGUAAUACUCAUUAAUCCGUAAUAAGAGACGAAAUUUGGUUAUCAUGUUGCUUCAAGUGUAUUAAAAGAAGAGUUCAAAAUCUUUUGAGACAUAUAUGCAGACCGAUAUUAUUGAGUUCAAAGAUGAUUAACAAUGCAUACUCUAAAUCGCCUAUCUUACACUAGAAUGAAGUAAAUAAGACAUAUAGUCACCUGCUUUCGAGCUCGAGAUCUUGCAGCAGAUUCUCUGUUCUUUAUCAUUCUCCUUUGCCGUCUCUCGGCAACCUUCUCCACAGCACUGCAUUUCCUACCCCUAGAACUUCCAUUUAACACAUAAGGAACCG
rnacentral:lncRNA from 1 species